rfam:Poecilia formosa, whole genome shotgun sequence.
UUAGCUCAGCAGGUUAGAGCACCGCGCUGGGAAUGCUGAGGUCAUUGGUUCAAAACCUGUA